rnacentral:sRNA from 1 species
GUAGACUUGGAAUUAUUUCGUAAAGUGGAGUGAGGGUAGUAUCUUUCUUUCUCAUUUUUUGGGACUAGGAUUUCUCAAUCGUGUUUGUUUAUACCCCGGCGUUGUGGUUGCUUAACUUGUUAUGCUCUAUAUACAUGGACGUAUACCCAGCGGGUAAAGGAUGAAAAAAUAGGGGAACAUUUUGAACUCCAUGACGCUUUGCUUGGAAAUGAACUAAACGAACAAAAGAGCAAAAGGAAUAUUGGCUCAGUGUUUCUGGCCCAAAAUCUGCGCCGAAAAACGCCGCAUUGAUGACAUUGAACUCAUUCAGUGCAUUCGAUCCCUUCAAGAGCCAUCAUAGCCUUUCCCCCUUCUCGCUCAAAAAUUCCAACCAAUCUUUCGCAUUCACUUCGCAGCUUAGCUUCUCCAUUUUUUGCAUUCCACAUGAUCCAUUCUUCCACGGUCAUCUGUUUCUCUGGGCUUGUUAGGUCCCCUCUAACGGCGUGAAGAAUAUCAUUGAUAUUCACAUUCUCUUUACUGAUCGAAUCCGAGAGGAAAAUUUCAUCUGGGUCAAUGGGACUCCAAGGAUGGGAGGUAAUUAGCUGACCAGACUGUGCAUAUGUUUUUGACGGUGAAGUGAUAGGUGUGCUUGUCGCAAGGGGCACAACAAAAGUUGCCUGUGGUUUGGAAACACAUGACGAGGUGGGUCGGGUAUUUGGUCGGCUUGAGGGUGGCCUGUUCUCUGCAUCGGACGAUUGCGGGGAUGGAGACGGCGUGGACUCAUUCACCCGUGCAUUUGGCGAAAUUGGGUUAUGAGAGACUUGAACUAUCCGGUCCGAUGCUCGCUCAAACAUUCCUGGGUUAUUCAAUCGUUGUUGGGUACCACUCCGCUUUAAUGAUGUAUCAUUAUUUCCGGAUGCUUUAAACGCGACCUUCCGUGGUACAUUGGUUGACGUUUGAGUUUCUGGACCUGCUUGCGGUUCCUUGCCGCUAGGGCUUGUACCCGAUAUUUUAAGCGCCUUAUUGUGACUUUCAUUUAUCGUUUUGUUUUGGACGGGAGGUUCGUGGAGGUAAGAUGGGAUAGGAGUAGUCUCUUCAGAAACUGGAAUCUCAUUUUGCAGUUGCUGAUUUUGCUUCUUCGAAUUCCCGGUGGAGCCCUUAGGUCGCCCAGGUCUUUUAGGGACAGGUUUCGGUUGGUGAUUUUCAAAGCUCUCAUCCUCCUGAUCCUUGGGGAUAAGUGCGUCUUCCAUCUCCACAUUGUCUCCUGUCUUCUGCUCGAGGCCACCCCAUAUAGCAUCAGCUAUAGGUUUAUGUUUAAUCUUAGCUUCGUGAAUAUCUGGGUUGGCAGGUUCUUGUUGAACUUGGGCACGGGAGUUUUUCCGAGCUGCGGGCUUCUUCUUGCCCAAGUUCUUUUUACGUUGGAUUCUCUGGGUCUUAGUAUCCGGCUCUCCUUCAAAAUCACUGGUAUUAAUAAUCGAAGAUGCCGCUGGCUGAACCGAUGCAACAGGUGCUGUUGAACGAUUCUGUUUGCUCGCGGAGUGUCCGUCUGUUUGCUCAGGUUCAGAUACUGCUCUUUCAUCAGCUUCAAUGCCCGCGACGAGAUCCGCCUCUAGUUGGGCGUCAAUCUCGUCAUCGUCGGGAAUCCUAGAUCUUAAACCUUUAGGAGCUGUAGGUGGUUUCCUUGUUGUUGAGGAAGCUCGCUUUGAUUUUCGUGGUUUUCGCGAGGGUUGUUUUUCUCCAUGCAUAGACUUCUCAUCGGCAACUGGCAAUUCCACUGUUUUGAUGUCCGAGUUCACAACAUGGUUCGCCACAAUAUUCUCUGACCUCGUGGCUCGUCUUUUAGAAGGUGGCUCUGAUCCAAUCGUAUCAUCUUUUUCAUUUGGUCCUUCUUCAACUUCAUUCAUUGCAUCACUAUUUCUCUUCUUUCCCCUCGCUGCUCUUUUCGGUCUGGACGUUUCCGGAGCUUCAUCAUUAUUAUCUUCCAUAUCUGCCUGCAGAUUUGGUUCAACAAAAUCUCCUUUUUUGGUCUUUGUUUUCUUCCCUUUCAAUUUCGUUGUCUUUCUCGUCAUUUUUGAAGUUUUGUUAGCUGAAUGAGAGAUGUUACUGUUAUCCAUUUCGUCAUCAUAAUCAACCUCAGGUGCCUCAGAUGCGGUUGUAGCGACUGAUUGAGUCGACAGGCGUGAUGCCUUCGAUGAUCGUGUCUUCUUCGCACGGGUGGCUUUCACUGGUUUAUUCAGCGCAAAAUGAAAAAAUGAACAGUCUGA